UACAGAGGGGGCAAGCGUUGUUCGGAAUUACUGGGCGUAAAGGGCGCGUAGGCGGCCCGCUAAGUCGAACGUGAAAUCCCCGAGCUCAACUCGGGAACUGCGUCCGAUACUGGCGGGCUUGAAUCCGGGAGAGGGAUGCGGAAUUCCAGGUGUAGCGGUGAAAUUCGUAGAUAUUCGGAAGAACACCAGUGGCGAAGGCGGCUCACUGGACUGGUAUUGACGCUGAGGUGCGAAAGCGUGGGGAGCAAACAGG
rnacentral:rRNA from 1 species